GAGUAGUAAAAGUUAAAAUCUUUAAACUCAAAAAAUUUGGCGGUAUUUUAUCUCGUUAGAGGAACCUGUUUAUUAAUUGAUAUUCCACAACUCUAAUUUACCUUUAUUAAAUUAUUUGUAUACCGUCGUCAUGAAUCUACUAAAAAGUAAUUUUCAAGAUUUCUUAUAAAAUUUAUGUUAGAUCAAGGUGCAGUAUUUAAAGGAAAAGAAUGGGUUACAAUAUUUAAUAUGAAUGAAAAUUACUAGAAGAUAGUUAUGGAAAUAGGAUUUAAUAGUAAAUAAAAUUUUAUUAGAGAUUUUUUAUGAAUUUAGAUWCUAAAAUAU
rnacentral:rRNA from 1 species